rnacentral:rRNA from 1 species
CAAUAGCGUAUAUUAAAGUUGUUGCAGUUAAAAAGCUCGUAGUUGGAUUUCGGGGUGGCCUGGCUGGUCCGCCGCAAGGUGAGUACUGGUCAGCCGCCCUUCCUCUCGAAAGCCCCGACUGCUCUUUACUGCAGUGGUCGGGUAGUUCGGGACGUUUACUUUGAAAAAAUUAGAGUGUUCAAGGCAGGCUAUCGCCUGAAUACAUUAGCAUGGAAUAAUGGAAGAGGACCUCGGUCCUAUUUUGUUGGUUUCUAGGGCCGAAGUAAUGAUUAAGAGGGACAGUUGGGGGCAUUCGUAUUUAAUUGUCAGAGGUGAAAUUCUUGGAUUUAUGAAAGACGAACUAGUGCGAAAGCAUUCGCCAAGGAUGUUUUCAUUAA